rnacentral:rRNA from 1 species
GCAUGAAGUCGGAAUUGCUAGUAAUCGCGGAUCAGCAUGCCGCCGGUGAAUACGUUCCCGGGCCUUGUACACACCGCCCGUCACACCAUGGGAGCCGGUAAUACCCGAAGUCAGUAGUCCAACCUCGUGAGGACGCUGCCGAAGGUAGGAUUGGCGACUGGGGUGAAGUCGUAACAAGGUAAC